rnacentral:rRNA from 1 species
UGGCUCAGGACGAACGCUGGCGGCGUGCCUAACACAUGCAAGUCGAGCGGGGACAUACGACGGAGUCAAAGUUUCGGAUGGAGACGAAGAUGUAUGUUCUAGCGGCGGACGGGUGAGUAACGCGUGAGCAACCUGUCCCUUACAGGGGGAUAACACAGCGAAAGUUGUACUAAUACCGCAUGAGACCACGGGAGGACAUCCUCCAGGGGUCAAAGGAGCAAUCCGGUAAGGGGUGGGCUCGCGUCCGAUUAGAUAGUUGGUGAGGUAACGGCCCACCAAGUCGACGAUCGGUAGCCGACCUGAGAGGGUGAUCGGCCACAUUGGGACUGAGACACGGCCCAAACUCCUACGGGAGGCAGCAGUGGGGAAUAUUGGGCAAUGGGGAAACCCUGACCCAGCAACGCCGCGUGAGGGAAGAAGGUUUUCGGAUCGUAAACCUCUGUCCUUGGUGAAGAGGAAGAGACGGUAGCCAAGGAGGAAGCCCCGGCUAACUACGUGCCAGCAGCAGC